AAAAGGUCCAGUGGUGUGGGCAUGUCGGGUCAUCUCCUCUGACGUAAAGGGCAGCUCAUUGCACCCUGUCCCUUCCACCAUCAGGAAAGAAGCACAACUCUCAGUGGCGUCUCUGGGUUUGGGGAACAGCGCAUUCAACACUGGGGACUCCUGCUUUGGCCCAUUUCUUGGGUGACACAGAAGGCUGCAAGUUUGGAGCGUCUAUGAUGCAUGCAUCCGUGCUUGGGACACGUGACCCGCCAGACCCUGGGGUCCUAGAGGUAUCUGUAGGAGAAAAGCUCCCAUAGGAAAGCCGUAGUGCAGGUCCCGAGGUGCUGGAACAAGGCCAUGCCAUUUGCAGAAGAGAAGGGCUCCUGAGAUGCCACCAGGCCCCAUUAGAAACUAAGCAUCUGACUGGGGGACAUCCAGUGGCCAAGUGGCCACAACUUUUCAUCAUGAGCUGAUGAGCCACCUGCCAGCUCACAAGGCCAGGCCUCUGUCACAACACAGAAGGGCACAUCAGGGAUGGGCUCACAAAGGUCCCGAAGCUGCAUGAACAGGAGGCCUAGAUCCCAUGCCACCUACCACUGUUGCACCAAUGCCCCUCUCAGCUCACACCUCGUGGGGGUCUCCCCGUGACCAGCUGAGAGGACGGACAAGGCUGAGGUUGGUUCGUGCAUGGAUCGGGCUCAGUGUUGGUGUGCGCUGAAGACAAUUGCGGUUGCACUCACUUCCUGCUGGGGGCGUGGCCUCAAAGACAGUGGGCGGAGCUUUGGGUGGACCCCUGGCCACCUAUGUGUGUAAAGAGAGAAGUGGCCUGAGGUCAGGGUAUGCGUGGGCUCAGGGGCAGUGGCUGAACUGGUCGGGAGAGUCUGCAAGGAGCAAGACAGGAAGAAUGGGAAGAUGUGGGGGAGGCGUGUGCGUGGACUGGGGGAGGGGCACACCGCGUGAGGAUCCUCGUCUCCCACGUUAACCCCUGGGAGCAUCCGGUGCACAGGGACACUAAACAACCAGGUGGACGGGAUGACCCUGCCAGCCUUUGUCCUGGGCGGCCACCGCACUUGGGCCACAGGCUCAUGAAGUGGAACAGUUACGGUGGCAGAGCUGGACGCCACUCCUGGGCCCGAGAGAAGGUGUUUCUACUCAUCGAGGCUGCUGUGGUUGCUGCACCUCUGCGUGUCUGACCUGUCAGCUACUGAGGCCGACUCUAAGCUCCCGAGAUGGUACCAUCCCCUUGAGGCGGCCAACCAGCCAGGCACUUGGUGGCAAGUUAAUUUCAUUGGACCCCCUUCCAUCUUGGAAAAGGGUGGCUGAUUCACUGGCGUGGAUCCUGAGCAACACCACCCAUGGCCAAGGGAUUGACCUUCUGGGAAAAGUGCAGCAGCAGGGGACGUGGUAAGGGUUCCACCCAACUUCAAGCUGCCGUUCUGCCUGUCUCUCUGGGCCCCCGUGCCAGUGGCGCAGCAGGCACAGAAAGGCGACUCCAUGCGGGCAGGAUGCGAGGUCCCGGCCAUCAUGAGGAACCAGUGCUGCUGGAUGGUGGGGACAGGGAGGGUGUGACGGGCACUCAGGUGUCCACCCAGCGAUUGUGACCAAGUGUGCUGGAGAAGAUGUGCCUGGAUGGAGGAGUGGAUGCACGAAGCAGGUGCGCCUGAGUGAUGGAAGGGGUGAGCUGCAGUCGAUGCCCCAUCCAGAUCCUGGUCCCCGGCCGGCGCACACGUCCGUCGGCAGCAGCGAGAGCGGCUGCUAGUGGCUCAUUGCUUCCCCUCCUCUCUGCACAGCUGACCUCAGCUAACGGCGCUGCCCGCCCUGGGAAGUUCUGCUCCGUCCCUGCCCCGUGGCGGCCCACAGCCAUGGCUGGUUAAAAAAGGGUUCCAGGGGCCAGCCCCAUUGCUCCAGCUUGGCAUAACUCGGUAGUGCCCGUUUUCUCUGGAACCUCUCCCUUGGGUCAGAGCCAGGCUGCCCUUAGCCGGACCCACACACCCUGCUCUGCCCUGUCCCCUGCCCUCACUCCCCUCGGCUUUCGUGUGGCUUGCUCCCUGAUAAGUUACUGUCCUCCGCUCUCUGCCUCAGUCUUAUCUGGUAUGGGGUUUCCUUUUGGGUAAUGAUGGAAAGUCACAUUAUUAUCUGGUCUUGGGGGGAAUAAUUACCUAAGCAAGACUGUCCUUGGAUCUAGAAGUGGGGAGAUUGGUUACUUUAUCUAAGAGCCACAGCCCCGCCUGAGAUGUUUAUCUCAGGGGGCAGAGAGAAAGGAGCCGACAGAGGCUGUGCUCCUGCGUCUUGUGCUCCGCGGCGGCGACACGGGGGUAUUGAUCUCCUUCUGGAACCCUCCAUGCAGUUUCCGUGACUGCCUCUUUCUCCUCAUUAAUGUAACACCUACUUUCUUUCUUGUGCCCACUACCCUCUAAAUGUCUCCCCACUUUCUAAACCCCGGGUUUCUCUGCAAGUUUCCCUUCCUUGAUGACAAGUGUGACUUCUGGAGAAGAUUCACCUUCUGGGAAUCCAGGGGUUUCUCCCGGCCCACGUGGACGGGGAGACGGGAUACAGAGUGUUGGGAGGUGAGAAGCAAGAAGGAACGUUCUGGAAACAUUAUCACCGCUCAGCCCUCAGUCCGACCCGCCUUCCCCAGGAGGCCCUGAGCUCUCCUCACGGGCUCCUGCUUCAUCUUCUGUAUUUUCUCCUUAACACCUAAGACUUGACGUGAUCUCCGGUCUGUGCCUGUUUGUUUAUUAGCUGUUUCUUCCACUGGAAGUCGGCCCCAGUAUUCACUGAGCAAACGGACAACCCUUCCUGGGUCAAUACAUGUUAUCUGCCCCUUGCCUUUAAAAAAACAUGGGGUAAAAUAGCCAUGACAUAAAAUUUACCAUUUUGACCACUUUUAAGCAUACUGUUCGGUGGCAUUAAGCACAUUCAUGUUGUCGUGCAACCGUGACCACCGUCCACGUCCAGAGCGUUUCCGUCUUCCCCAGCUGAAGCUCUGGCCCCGUUAAACACUGACUCCCCAUCCCACUCCCUCCACCCCUGGCACCCGCCCCUGUUCUGCUUUCUGUCCCUAGGCACUUGACCCCUCUGGGGGCCUCGUGGAAGAGGAAUCAUACCGCACUUGUCUGUGUCUGGCUUCUUUCACUUAGCAGAAUGUCUUUCAGGUCACUCAAUGUGACACGUGUCAGAAUUUCCUCCCUUUUUUAAGGCUGAAUAAUAUUCCAUUGUCUGGAUAGGUCACACUUCAGCCUUUUCUUUUAAUGACUGAGUAGGAUAGCUUCAUUUAGUUGAAAAUUCUGUAUUGAGAGACAUUUAGCUUUCCUUUUUUAUUUUUCUAUCUACUAACGAUGCAGGAAAACAUACCCUUUAAUAUGUUUUUUAUAUACUCAUGCUAUGACUUCUGUAGGACACAUUUCUCAAAGUGGGAUGGCUGGGUCGUUGGGUAGAAGCAUUUCAAAUGUUUUUAGACACCAGCAAAUUGUUCUCCCGAAAUGUUAUACUAAUUUCUGCUUGCAGCAAAAGCAUUUGAGCGAGUCCUUUCUCUCACCCUAAGUUUCUAUCUUCUAAAAUGUUGCCAAUCUGGUAGAUAAAAUAUGAUUAGCUCAUUGUUUUUUUUUUCUUUGUUUUUAUUGAGGUAACAUUGGUUUAUAACAUUAUAGAAAUUUCAGAUGUACAUCAGUAUAUUUCAGUUUCUGUGUAGAUUACAUCAUGUUCACCACCCAAAGACUAAUUACCAUCUCUCACCACAUACGUGUACCCUCUCACCCUUUCUACCCUCCCCCCUCUGCCUGCCCCCUCUGGUGACCACCAAUCUAAUCUCUGUAUCUAUGUGUUUGUUGUUGCUUUUAUCUUCAAUUUAUCAGUGAAAUCAUACGGUAUUUGAUUUCUCUGUCUUAUUUAUUUUGCUUUUGGCAUAAUACCCUCAAAGUCCACCCACAUUGUCGCAAAUGGCAAGAUUUCAUCUUUUUUCUGGCUGAGUGGUAUUCCACUGUGUGUAUACACCACACCUUCCUUAUCCACUCAUCCAUUGAUGGGGGCUUAGGUUGUUUCCACGUCUUGGCUAUUGUGAAUAAUGCUGUAACGAACAUAGGGC
rnacentral:lncRNA from 1 species